CCUACGGGUGGCAGCAGUAGGGAAUAUUGCUCAAUGGGGGAAACCCUGAAGCAGCAACGCCGCGUGGAGGAUGAAGGUUUUCGGAUUGUAAACUCCUUUUGUUAGAGAAGAUAAUGACGGUAUCUAACGAAUAAGCACCGGCUAACUCCGUGCCAGCAGCCGCGGUAAUACGGAGGGUGCAAGCGUUACUCGGAAUCACUGGGCGUAAAGAGCGCGUAGGCGGGAUAGCAAGUCAGAUGUGAAAUCCUAUGGCUUAACCAUAGAACUGCAUUUGAAACUGUUAUUCUAGAGUAUGGGAGGGGUAGGUGGGAUUUUUGGUGGAGGGGUAAAAUCCGGAGGGAUCAAAAGGAAAAAUCAAUGCGAAGG
rnacentral:rRNA from 1 species